AACGAACGCUGGCGGUGUGCUUAACACAUGCAAGUCGAACGAGAAAGUUUCCUUCGGGAAGCUAGUAAAGUGGCGCAAGGGUGAGUAACACGUGAAUAAUCUGCCCUCGAGGUCGGGAUAACAUGGUGAAAACUAUGCUAAUACCGGAUAAGACCACAUUUCAUAAGAAAUGCGGUAAAAGGAGUCUCAAUCUUCACUCGAGGAUGAGUUCGCGGACCAUUAGCUUGUUGGCGGGAUAAUAGCCCACCAAGGCUACGAUGGAUAGCCGGCCUGAGAGGGUGAUCGGCCACACUGGAACUGAGACACGGUCCAGACUCCUACGGGAGGCAGCAGUGGGGAAUAUUGCGCAAUGGGCGAAAGCCUGACGCAGCAACGCCGCGUGAGGGAUG
rnacentral:rRNA from 1 species